AACUUCUAAAACAACGUUGUAAUUUAUAAAAUUGUUGGUGUAUUGUAUGUUUUGACAAUUAACGAUUAAACGGAACAGCGUAAAAAGAACGAAGAAGCACCGAAAAGCGUAAAAAUGGAAAUUGGUCGCAAGGUUUGCAGUUGCUCGAAACUAACAACAACAACAACAAAAUCAACACGCAAUACAAUUGUUGUUGCUGUACAGGCAAAUAAAAUAUGUGAAGGAACUUGCCAACUCCAAGAGUGAGUGAGAGAAGGACAGCAAGUGUUAGAAGGGGAAGUAAAGAGAGAGAGAG